CUCCUAGCCUCAAGUCAUUCUCUUACCUUGGCCUCCCAAAGUGCUGGGAUUACAGGUGUGAGCCAAGGUGCCUGGCCACCUCACCAUUUUUGCUGACUGAAUCACUUGACUAACCUAACCAUAGCUUGCUACUGAAGAUGCUGGCAACCUAGUAGACAAUACAUCAAGAUGCAAUGAUGCUCCAUGGAAAUGCAAUACCUUCCAUCCAACCAAGAUGCUCCCUAAGGAGGGGGAAGUGAUGCUAUCAGGAAGAUCGUGUAGACUGGUAAGAGAUCCCUCCCACAUUGCUGACUUCAGAACCGCAUUUUGACUACAGAACCACGGCACCUGAGGAGGGGUGCCAGCCACCCUGUGCCCAUGAAACCACGAUGUCUUGCCAGAAGCAGGGCACACUCUGGCCCCAGCUGCGUCAGGGGCUUCAGACUCAUUAAUACUAUUUUCUAUGUUAAAAUAAAUGAUGACGUAUCGGUUCACCUGCAAUGAA